GUGAGGCGCGUCUAGGGUUCCGCCCCGCUCGACGGGGGCCUGGUCCGAGAGACGCAGGCGGCCCCCGCACGACGGCCGCCCCACGGCGGGACAAAAGCCCGGGAGAC
rnacentral:sRNA from 2 species